rnacentral:rRNA from 2 species
AGAGUUUGAUCCUGGCUCAGGACGAACGCUGGCGGCGUGCCUAAUACAUGCAAGUCGAACGAACUCUGGUAUUGAUUGGUGCUUGCAUCAUGAUUUACAUUUGAGUGAGUGGCGAACUGGUGAGUAACACGUGGGAAACCUGCCCAGAAGCGGGGGAUAACACCUGGAAACAGAUGCUAAUACCGCAUAACAACUUGGACCGCAUGGUCCGAGUUUGAAAGAUGGCUUCGGCUAUCACUUUUGGAUGGUCCCGCGGCGUAUUAGCUAGAUGGUGGGGUAACGGCUCACCAUGGCAAUGAUACGUAGCCGACCUGAGAGGGUAAUCGGCCACAUUGGGACUGAGACACGGCCCAAACUCCUACGGGAGGCAGCAGUAGGGAAUCUUCCACAAUGGACGAAAGUCUGAUGGAGCAACGCCGCGUGAGUGAAGAAGGGUUUCGGCUCGUAAAACUCUGUUGUUAAAGAAGAACAUAUCUGAGAGUAACUGUUCAGGUAUUGACGGUAUUUAACCAGAAAGCCACGGCUAACUACGUGCCAGCAGCCGCGGUAAUACGUAGGUGGCAAGCGUUGUCCGGAUUUAUUGGGCGUAAAGCGAGCGCAGGCGGUUUUUUAAGUCUGAUGUGAAAGCCUUCGGCUCAACCGAAGAAGUGCAUCGGAAACUGGGAAACUUGAGUGCAGAAGAGGACAGUGGAACUCCAUGUGUAGCGGUGAAAUGCGUAGAUAUAUGGAAGAACACCAGUGGCGAAGGCGGCUGUCUGGUCUGUAACUGACGCUGAGGCUCGAAAGUAUGGGUAGCAAACAGGAUUAGAUACCCUGGUAGUCCAUACCGUAAACGAUGAAUGCUAAGUGUUGGAGGGUUUCCGCCCUUCAGUGCUGCAGCUAACGCAUUAAGCAUUCCGCCUGGGGAGUACGGCCGCAAGGCUGAAACUCAAAGGAAUUGACGGGGGCCCGCACAAGCGGUGGAGCAUGUGGUUUAAUUCGAAGCUACGCGAAGAACCUUACCAGGUCUUGACAUACUAUGCAAAUCUAAGAGAUUAGACGUUCCCUUCGGGGACAUGGAUACAGGUGGUGCAUGGUUGUCGUCAGCUCGUGUCGUGAGAUGUUGGGUUAAGUCCCGCAACGAGCGCAACCCUUAUUAUCAGUUGCCAGCAUUAAGUUGGGCACUCUGGUGAGACUGCCGGUGACAAACCGGAGGAAGGUGGGGAUGACGUCAAAUCAUCAUGCCCCUUAUGACCUGGGCUACACACGUGCUACAAUGGAUGGUACAACGAGUUGCGAACUCGCGAGAGUAAGCUAAUCUCUUAAAGCCAUUCUCAGUUCGGAUUGUAGGCUGCAACUCGCCUACAUGAAGUCGGAAUCGCUAGUAAUCGCGGAUCAGCAUGCCGCGGUGAAUACGUUCCCGGGCCUUGUACACACCGCCCGUCACACUAUGAGAGUUUGUAACACCCAAAGUCGGUGGGGUAACCUUUUAGGAACCAGCCGCCUAAGGUGGGACAGAUGAUUAGGGUGAAGUCGUAACAAGGUAACC